AACGAACGCUGGCGGCAUGCCUAACACAUGCAAGUCGAACGAAGGCUUCGGCCUUAGUGGCGCACGGGUGCGUAACGCGUGGGAAUCUGCCCUUAGGUUCGGAAUAACAGCUGGAAACGGCUGCUAAUACCGGAUGAUGACGAAAGUCCAAAGAUUUAUCGCCUGAGGAUGAGCCCGCGUUGGAUUAGGUAGUUGGUGGGGUAAAGGCCUACCAAGCCGACGAUCCAUAGCUGGUCUGAGAGGAUGAUCAGCCACACUGGGACUGAGACACGGCCCAGACUCCUACGGGAGGCAGCAGUGGGGAAUAUUGGACAAUGGGCGAAAGCCUGAUCCAGCAAUGCCGCGUGAGUGAUGAAGGCCCUAGGGUUGUAAAGCUCUUUUACCCGGGAAGAUAAUGACUGUACCGGGAGAAUAAGCCCCGGCUAACUCCGUGCCAGCAGCCGCGGUAAUACGGAGGGGGCUAGCGUUGUUCGGAAUUACUGGGCGUAAAGCGCACGUAGGCGGCUUUGUAAGUCAGAGGUGAAAGCCUGGAGCUCAACUCCAGAACUGCCUUUGAGACUGCAUCGCUUGAAUCCAGGAGAGGUCAGUGGAAUUCCAAGUGUAGAGGUGAAAUUCGUAGAUAUUCGGAAGAACACCAGUGGCGAAGGCGGCUGACUGGACUGGUAUUGACGCUGAGGUGCGAAAGCGUGGGGAGCAAACAGG
rnacentral:rRNA from 1 species